rnacentral:rRNA from 1 species
GAUGAACGCUGGCGGCGUGCUUAACACAUGCAAGUCGAACGGAAAGGCUCCUGCUUGCAGGGGUACUCGAGUGGCGAACGGGUGAGUAACACGUGGGUGAUCUGCCCUGCACUUCGGGAUAGGCCUGGGAAACUGGGUCUAAUACCGGAUAGGACCACAUUUUGGAUGGUGUGGUGGAAAGUUUUUCGGUGUGGGAUGAGCUCGCGGCCUAUCAGCUUGUUGGUGGGGUAAUGGCUUACCAAGGCGCCGACGGGUAGCCGGCCUGAGAGGGUGUACGGCCACAUUGGGACUGAGAUACGGCCCAGACUCCUACGGGAGGCAGCAGUGGGGAAUAUUGCACAAUGGGCGCAAGCCUGAUGCAGCGACGCCGCGUGGGGGAUGACGGCCUUCGGGUUGUAAACUCCUUUCGCUAGGGACGAAGCGCAAGUGACGGUACCUGGAGAAGAAGCACCGGCUAACUACGUG